CGGACCGCAGCCGGGUUUGCUUUCUUAGCGGCGACUUCUCGGCGAGGCCCGGCCACCGUUGCGCGGUGCCAAGCUCGAAGCGCCGCGCAGGGGCCGAGCCAAGCCGCCGGCCCGGCCCGGGUGUCCCAGCCCCCGGCUCGGGCAGACCUCGUGGGCUUGCAGUGUUUGCAAACCCAUAAUUAAUGCAAUCUGCAGAAACGAAAACAUUCCACUUAAAUGUGUUUUUGAACAAGUGCUUGAGAAAACACGCAGGGAGAGAGAACACCUCUGGUGGAGAGAUGCUUCUAAGUGCCCGGGACGGUCCUGAAGGCGUUUAUUGUAUCGAAAAUACCAACGGGUGAGCUUUUCAGCAAAGCUCAAGCCGCCGGGAACCUUUUUUUUUUUUUUCCUAUUCGAGCAGUACCAGGGGGAAGGAGUUAGUGAGUUCACGGUUCAUACCUAAAAUUCUUCUGGGGCGGCCCUGGUCCCUGCCUUGCGUCUCACAAAUGACGUGCAGAUUAGAAACUGCCUGCCCGAUCAGGAGGAGGUUCCCAGAGGCUCAGCGGCCCUGGGGGGCUUUCGUCUCUGCAGCGGGGCCGCGGAGCGAGACUUGCUGUGCCUGUCAGUGCCUCUGCCCAUCUGGACACACGUGAUGGGCUUAGACGCCCGUGUGUGUAAACAGCCGCCCACCGCGGGGCAUCCGAGGCCCCAGAGNNNNNNNNNNNNNNNNNNNNNNNNNNNNNNNNNNNNNNNNNNNNNNNNNNNNNNNNNNNNNNNNNNNNNNNNNNNNNNNNNNNNNNNNNNNNNNNNNNNCGUGUGUGUAAACAGCCGCCCACCGCGGGGCAUCCGAGGCCCCAGAGAAACGGAGACCAAGCCUCACUUCUUUUGCAGCAGGCUGUCUCUGCGGCCACAGCUGUUCUGAAAGUGCCCAAAGCACAUGGCACCUCAGGGGGCCUCCUGGAUCUGCUGGUCUCUGGGUGGAAAAGCAGGAUAGGGUGUUCAUUCCUGGAACUGCUGGACUCCCUGUGGGUUUUCUUCUCUUUUCCGCCCGCACUCUUAGAAGCUAAGCACUUGCUUUCAGGUUGCCUUGGCCUUGGCCUUCCUAGGGCUGCGCUCAGGGUUUCCUGGGUGUUGGUGGCACCGGCUGCAGAGGACCCCGUGCGGAAGCUAAUGGCACACAGAGUGCGGGUACCAGCCCCCUUUUGCUGCACUUCCCUCGAAGCUGUUUGUCUUAACACUAUUUUUGCAAAUAAGAUGCUAUGUGGCUUUAGCCUCCAGGAGAAAAGCUUAAAGCCCUGACAUCUCUUGGCAAGCUCCCCUCCCCGCCCCACCUCUCAUCAAGCACGUCAAGAAGCUGGCUGAUGGGCCGUGAGGGCACGUUGGAGGUGCUGGAUUUUUCUGGGGUGCUCACCUCUUUUCAGACCGAUUUCCAGUUUGCAGGGGGGGAGGUGACCGCUUGUUUCCAGCAGGAUGGCUUUCUCUCUGCAGGAUUUACAUCUGGUCUUUAAUAAACCAGAGAGACAGUGCCAGUCCCUGGGAGCUGGGGAGUGAUUACUGGGCGUCUUCUGGAUGUGUGGUCCUAGGCACAUUACUUAGCUGUCUUAAUUGCCAGUGUUCUUGCUGUAAAGUGCGAUCAAGCAACGCCUUCUGUUUAGCUCAGUGCCAGGAUUAAACGUGAGGCUUUUCGUGUCCGCUCGCGGUACACACCUGUUCAGUAACUCACCCUAUUUCUGAUGGCGGCCGUGCCACUCGCCCUGACGCCGUGGUUUCCCCAGGUGGCUGUGCCCCUCAGGCCUGGGGACGCUGGCCUCAUGUUGGUUUUGUCUGUGGGGUGCAGAGCAGUGCACCACCCUGGGGGAGCGCGAGCUUUGUUAAGGUGGGGGUGCCAGCCUGGACCAGCAAGCGAGGAAACCAGCCUGGCUGCCCGCUUGGCACCACCCUGUCUCCUCAGGUGGAAGCAGGCAGUGCGCCCGCCUCCUGGGGGUCAGAAGCUUGUCGCUGGCAUCCCUGGGUGAUGCCUUUGUCCCCCCGCUCCCCGCACUGGACGGUCUUGGUUGGGGGACGUGUCUCCCCCGUGUGUCGGUGGGUUUGACCACCUCCGCUAAUUGGUGUUCAAGAUAAAGAGAAUCUGCUUUGCUCAGUAAUUACCUUUUUUUCCCGUUAGAGUCAUUCUUUAGAAACGGCACCUUUGUGUGCAUUCCUGACUCUGAGGAUGUGCAUCACUGCCUGGUCCUCCACGAACCGCGUGCUUUUCCUGUGACAGGCGGGGGCGAGAGGUGUGUCUGACCCCUGCUGGGAUCCUCACCUGUCCCCUCCUUCUGCGAGGGCUGGAUCCGGUCGUUUCCAUCCUGCUGGUGGCCGAGCCUAGGGAGCACCUUGCAGUGUCGGUUGCCUGCUCACACGUGGUCCAGGUGACCGCAGUCCUGCUCCGUCACGGGCGCAGCGGUGCCGACUUUGGCAGAAGUCCGCAAACCUGGACGUGGGUGUUUCCUUCCUGGGUGUUUCCCGGGGGCACUGUACUCCCAGUAACUCCUUGCUCAGAGUGUUUGGGAGGAGCCGUGGACUGAUUUUAGAGCUGCCUGCGGGAGUUCUGCCCCCACUGAGAAGGCAGAGGCCAGUGGCCUUGCUUCUCAUGUG
ensembl:lncRNA